GACGGAGGGCGCAAGCGUUGUUCGGAAUUACUGGGCGUAAAGCGCGCGCAGGCGGAAGGAUAAGUCGGGGGUGAAAGACCGGGGCUCAACCCCGGGGCGGCCUCCGAGACUGUUUUUCUGGGGACCGGUAGGGGCGGGUGGAAUUCCCGGUGUAGCGGUGGAAUGCGUAGAUAUCGGGAAGAACACCUGUGGCGAAGGCGGCCCGCUGGGCCGGAUCCGACGCUGAGGCGCGAAAGCGUGGGGAGCAAACAGG
rnacentral:misc_RNA from 1 species